rnacentral:rRNA from 1 species
ACGAACGCUGGCGGCAGGCUUAACACAUGCAAGUCGAGCGCGUAGCAAUACGAGCGGCAGACGGGUGAGUAACGCGUGGGAACAUACCCUUUUCUACGGAAUAACGCAGGGAAACUUGUGCUAAUACCGUAUGAGCCCUUCGGGGGAAAGAUUUAUCGGGAAAGGAUUGGCCCGCGUUGGAUUAGCUAGUUGGUGGGGUAAAGGCCUACCAAGGCGACGAUCCAUAGCUGGUCUGAGAGGAUGAUCAGCCACAUUGGGACUGAGACACGGCCCAAACUCCUACGGGAGGCAGCAGUGGGGAAUAUUGGACAAUGGGCGCAAGCCUGAUCCAGCCAUGCCGCGUGAGUGAUGAAGGCCCUAGGGUUGUAAAGCUCUUUCACCGGAGAAGAUAAUGACGGUAUCCGGAGAAGAAGCCCCGGCUAACUUCGU